rnacentral:lncRNA from 1 species
UUUUUUCUUCUUUAAUUAAAGGGGUAAUGUGCAUUUCCUUGGAAUUUAUUUUUAUUCCAUGUAGGCACCAUGGAAGGCAUAGAAUAUGAGUGCUGAGUCACAACAGCAGGAGGCCUGGCGUCUUGUCUCUUCCCUCAAAUUUGGAUACCAUCACGGGUGGACUGCCUCGUAUUCAACUAACACAUCUGAAUGGCACCAGGUAGCAAGCAAGCAAGCUUCAGCUACAUGGAUGAAUCAGUGGGGUCAUGGAUCUAUUCAUCUCAUCUCUCUCCAGCUAUCGGAUUCUGGCAGGGAUGGGAAGAACACUGUGGUAAUUUUAAUGUGACUCCCACAGUUUACUUGAUUUUUCUUAAUGACUUCGAAUAUCUCAAGCUGUGACUUAAAUAACAAAUGAUCAAAAGAAUACCCACUCCCGUUUUAUUCUGCAAUGAAACUCAAUGACCUGCAAGAGGUAAUUUAAUGACUUAAGACGUCGAUAUAUAGGUAAUGGUAUAAAUGGCUUUUAAAUUUGUCCCUUGAUUUUUCUUUUUCUUUGGUUUUUCAAGACAGGGUUUCUCUGUGUAGCCUUGGAGCCUAUCCUGGCACUCACUCUGUAGACCAGGCUGGCCUUGAACUCACAGAGAUCUGCCUGCUUCUGCCUCCCAAGUGCUGGGAUUAAAGGCGUGCACCACCAACGCCCGGCUUUGUCCCACAAUUUUAAGAAUAGGAUGUCCCUGAAUCUCAAAUGAGAGACUUUAUUAUGAAUUUUCAAUUUGUUUUUUAAUAGUUACAUAAAAUGGUCAAUAAUUUAGCAUAUACUUUUCAUGGACUUAAUAAUAUGUUUAAAAUUAUGCUGAAACUUACAUAGAAUGCAAAUAGAGCAAUACUUUCAUUGUGGAGAAUAAGCACUUUCAAUGUAUAUAAUUUGUGUAGCUGAAGAAAUCAUACCUUUGAUUGAAAGUAUUAUUUUUGUGUCAAAUCUUAUCAAGAUAGAUGUGAAGAUGAAAGACGAAUUGUCUAAAUAAUAUUGUAUCUAUCACUUAAUUAUGUAAAGUGGAGCUUGAGUUUGCUAAAAAGAAAACUUUAACAUCAUUCAACAAGGAAACUAUGUUUCCUUUUAGGUAGCAUUAAGUAAUAAACAGUGAAAUAUCCAGAAAUCA